AUUGGGCGUUAAGUUGCAGGGUAUAGACCCGAAACCCGGUGAUCUAGCCAUGGGCAGGUUGAAGGUUGGGUAACACUAACUGGAGGACCGAACCGACUAAUGUUGAAAAAUUAGCGGAUGACCUGUGGCUGGGGGUGAAAGGCCAAUCAAACCGGGAGAUAGCUGGUUCUCCCCGAAAGCUAUUUAGGUAGCGCCUCGUGAAUUCAUCUCCGGGGGUAGAGCACUGUUUCGGCUAGGGGGCCAUCCCGGCUUACCAACCCGAUGCAAACUGCGAAUACCGGAGAAUGUUAUCACGGGAGACACACGGCGGGUGCUAACGUCCGUCGUGAAGAGGGAAACAACCCAGACCGCCAGCUAAGGUCCCAAAGUCAUGGUUAAGUGGGAAACGAUGUGGGAAGGCCCAGACAGCCAGGAUGUUGGCUUAGAAGCAGCCAUCAUUUAAAGAAAGCGUAAUAGCUCACUGGUCGAGUCGGCCUGCGCGGAAGAUGUAACGGGGCUAAACCAUGCACCGAAGCUGCGGCAGCGACGCUUAUGCGUUGUUGGGUAGGGGAGCGUUCUGUAAGCCUGCGAAGGUGGCCUGUGAGGGUUGCUGGAGGUAUCAGAAGUGCGAAUGCUGACAUAAGUAACGAUAAAGCGGGUGAAAAGCCCGCUCGCCGGAAGACCAAGGGUUCCUGUCCAACGUUAAUCGGGGCAGGGUGAGUCGACCCCUAAGGCGAGGCCGAAAGGCGUAGUCGAUGGGAAACGGGUUAAUAUUCCCGUACUUGGUGUUACUGCGAAGGGGGGACGGAGAAGGCUAUGUUGGCCGGGCGACGGUUGUCCCGGUUUAAGCGUGUAGGUGUGUGUUCCAGGUAAAUCCGGUUCACUUUAACACUGAGGCGUGACGACGAGGCACUACGGUGCUGAAGCAACAAAUGCCCUGCUUCCAGGAAAAGCCUCUAAGCAUCAGGUAACAUCAAAUCGUACCCCAAACCGACACAGGUGGUCAGGUAGAGAAUACCAAGGCGCUUGAGAGAACUCGGGUGAAGGAACUAGGCAAAAUGGUGCCGUAACUUCGGGAGAAGGCACGCUGACACGUAGGUGAAGUGAUUUACUCAUGGAGCUGAAGUCAGUCGAAGAUACCAGCUGGCUGCAACUGUUUAUUAAAAACACAGCACUGUGCAAACACGAAAGUGGACGUAUACGGUGUGACGCCUGCCCGGUGCCGGAAGGUUAAUUGAUGGGGUCAGCGCAAGCGAAGCUCCUGAUCGAAGCCCCGGUAAACGGCGGCCGUAACUAUAACGGUCCUAAGGUAGCGAAAUUCCUUGUCGGGUAAGUUCCGACCUGCACGAAUGGCGUAAUGAUGGCCAGGCUGUCUCCACCCGAGACUCAGUGAAAUUGAACUCGCUGUGAAGAUGCAGUGUACCCGCGGCAAGACGGAAAGACCCCGUGAACCUUUACUAUAGCUUGACACUGAACAUUGAGCCUUGAUGUGUAGGAUAGGUGGGAGGCUUUGAAGUGUGGACGCCAGUCUGCAUGGAGCCGACCUUGAAAUACCACCCUUUAAUGUUUGAUGUUCUAACGUGGACCCGUUACCCGGGUUGCGGACAGUGUCUGGUGGGUAGUUUGACUGGGGCGGUCUCCUCCUAAAGAGUAACGGAGGAGCACGAAGGUUGGCUAAUCCUGGUCGGACAUCAGGAGGUUAGUGCAAUGGCAUAAGCCAGCUUGACUGCGAGCGUGACGGCGCGAGCAGGUGCGAAAGCAGGUCAUAGUGAUCCGGUGGUUCUGAAUGGAAGGGCCAUCGCUCAACGGAUAAAAGGUACUCCGGGGAUAACAGGCUGAUACCGCCCAAGAGUUCAUAUCGACGGCGGUGUUUGGCACCUCGAUGUCGGCUCAUCACAUCCUGGGGCUGAAGUAGGUCCCAAGGGUAUGGCUGUUCGCCAUUUAAAGUGGUACGCGAGCUGGGUUUAGAACGUCGUGAGACAGUUCGGUCCCUAUCUGCCGUGGGCGCUGGAGAACUGAGGGGGGCUGCUCCUAGUACGAGAGGACCGGAGUGGACGCAUCACUGGUGUUCGGGUUGUCAUGCCAAUGGCACUGCCCGGUAGCUAAAUGCGGAAGAGAUAAGUGCUGAAAGCAUCUAAGCACGAAACUUGCCCCGAG
rnacentral:rRNA from 1 species